UGGGGUAUAUUGGACAAUGGGCGAAAGCCUGAUCCAGCCAUGCCGCGUGUGUGAAGAAGGUCUUCGGAUUGUAAAGCACUUUAAGUUGGUAGGAAGGGCAGUAAGCGAAUACCUUGCUGUUUUGACGUUACCGACAGAAUAAGCACCGGCUAACUCUGUGCCAGCAGCCGCGGUAAUACAGAGGGUGCAAGCGUUAAUCGGAAUUACUGGGCGUAAAGCGCGCGUAGGUGGUUCGUUAAGUUGAAUGUGAAAGCCCCGGGCUCAACCUGGGAACUGCAUCCAAAACUGGCGAGCUAGAGUAGGGCAGAGGGUGGUGGAAUUUCCUGUGUAGCGGUGAAAUGCGUAGAUAUAGGAAGGAACGCCAGUGGCGAAGGCGACCACCUGGGCUCAUACUGACACUGAGGUGCGAAAGCGUGGGGAGCAAACAGG
rnacentral:rRNA from 1 species